ACAGCGGCACAAAUUUUUUGGUAAAAUUCAAGGCUAAACUAAAUAAAUGAUAAAAUAAAGAAAAACAAAAAGGAGAGAAAAAGGAAAAUUCUUGAAGAGCAAACGGAGCUGUGAAAAAGCUAGCAAGCAAAAAGGAUAGGAUUUGUAGCGUUCGAGCGGCCACAUAUCUGAAGCAGCUAAAACAAAUUUAGAAAUGGCGGCAGCAGCAUCAUCCUCCAUGGCGGCCACCGCUGUUUUGAUUCCACGUGUCCCCACCGCCCUUAGAACCACUCGCUGCUCUGCCUUGCCGCUCCUCCCCCCUCGCGUUUCCACCGCUUCCUUCUCAUCUUCUGUCAAGCUAAUUCCAGAAUCCCGGAGGUUUUCUCUGCUCCAGACAAAAGCCUCAGAGGAGACAACCUCUGUUGAUGCUGGGGAGCUUUUCACUGACUUGAAGGAAAAGUGGGAGAAAAUUGAGAACAAGUCCACAGUACUUAUUUAUGGUGGUGGGGCAAUUGUUGCAGUUUGGUUAUCAGCUAUUCUUGUUGGUGCCAUUAACUCUGUCCCUUUGCUUCCAAAGAUAAUGGAGUUGGUUGGACUUGGAUACACAGGAUGGUUUGUCUACAGAUACCUUCUCUUCAAGAAAGAAAUCACAGAACACCCAUGUGAGAUUUAUAAAUGCACGAAGAGAUAGUGAUGUAAUUGAUGAAUUUGAACCAACUUUUGAGAGUUACACACCUGCGCUUUGAAAUCUGAAAAUGGGCUCUUCUUUGAGAUGUCAAGCAGGAAAGAACUAGCUACGGAUAUUGAGGCACUGAAGAAGAAGAUCUCCGGAACGGAAUAGAUGCACAAAAUGGGGGUGCUUAUUUAUUUCCGAUCAUUUUCUUUUUGGUACCUUUGUACCCUGUAAAAGAGACAUCUCUAUCCUGUAAUUGUAGGAUUGCCUUGUAUGAAUUCUUGUCACCUUUUUUAAUUGCUCUGUUCGAUGAACAAUACUUGUCAAUUCUA